GAUGAAGAACGCAGCGAACUGCGAUAAGUAAUGUGAAUUGCAGAAUUCAGUGAAUCAUCGAGUCUUUGAACGCACAUUGCGCCCCCUGGUAUUCCGGGGGGCAUGCCUGUCCGAGCGUCAUUGCUGCCCUCAAGCACGGCUUGUGUGUUGGGCCUCCGUCCUCCUCCCGGGGGACGGGCCCGAAAGGCAGCGGCGGCACCGCGUCCGGUCCUCGAGCGUAUGGGGCUUCGUCACCCGCUCUUGUAGGCCCGGCCGGCGCUUGCCGACACAUCAAUCUUUUUUCCAGGUUGACCUCGGAUCAGGUAGGGAUACCCGCUGAACUUAAGCAUAUCAAUAAGCGGAGGA
rnacentral:misc_RNA from 1 species